UGAUGCAAAUAUUCUAAUAGCAAUUUUUUCUUCUUCAAUUGUUAAAUUUAGGUCAAAAUUAGUAUGUAGGAUGAAUUUUAAGUUUUCUAAUAUCUUAUCAAAUUUCAUCUUAUUCCAAUUAAUAGAUCUUUAGAUAUCAUACAAAUCUUAUCCAAUCUCAAAUUACAAACUUUUGAUACCUUCUUAAAGCAAAAAUCACAUAUCUUUCAAAUGCAUCAUUAGAUUAAAAAAAAAAAUUACAUAUACUUAGCAUACUCAAUCAAUUAAGUACUUUUAAAUUUUAGACUAUAAAUUUAAUAUCAAUUAUAUGAAGUAGAUAAAGUGUUAGG
rnacentral:lncRNA from 1 species